GAUGAACGCUGGCGGCGUGCCUAAUACAUGCAAGUCGAGCGAACAGAUGAGGAGCUUGCUCCUCUGACGUUAGCGGCGGACGGGUGAGUAACACGUGGAUAACCUACCUAUAAGACUGGGAUAACUUCGGGAAACCGGAGCUAAUACCGGAUAAUAUAUUGAACCGCAUGGUUCAAUAGUGAAAGACGGUUGUGCUGUCACUUAUAGAUGGAUCCGCGCCGCAUUAGCUAGUUGGUAAGGUAACGGCUUACCAAGGCAACGAUGCGUAGCCGACCUGAGAGGGUGAUCGGCCACACUGGAACUGAGACACGGUCCAGACUCCUACGGGAGGCAGCAGUAGGGAAUCUUCCGCAAUGGGCGAAAGCCUGACGGAGCAACGCCGCGUGAGUGAUGAAGGUCUUCGGAUCGUAAAACUCUGUUAUUAGGGAAGAACAAAUGCGUAAGUAACUAUGCACGUCUUGACGGUACCUAAUCAGAAAGCCACGGCUAACUACGUG
rnacentral:rRNA from 1 species